UACGUAGGGUGCAAGCGUUAAUCGGAAUUACUGGGCGUAAAGCGUGCGCAGGCGGCUUUGCAAGACAGAUGUGAAAUCCCCGGGCUCAACCUGGGAACUGCAUUUGUGACUGCAUGGCUAGAGUGCGGCAGGAGGGGGAUGGAAUUCCGCGUGUAGACAGUGAAAUGCGUGAGAUAUGCGGGAGGAACACCGAUGGCGAACGGCGCAAUCCCCUGGGCCUGCACUGAACGCUCGAUGACACGAAAGCCGUGGGGAGCAAACAGGA
rnacentral:rRNA from 1 species